UUUCCAGACUCCUACGGGAGGCAGCAGUGGGGAAUAUUGGGCAAUGGGCGCAAGCCUGACCCAGCAACGCCGCGUGAAGGAAGAAGGCUUUCGGGUUGUAAACUUCUUUUCUCAGGGACGAAGAAAGUGACGGUACCUGAGGAAUAAGCCACGGCUAACUACGUGCCAGCAGCCGCGGUAAUACGUAGGUGGCAAGCGUUGUCCGGAUUUACUGGGUGUAAAGGGCGUGCAGCCGGGAAGACAAGUCAGAUGUGAAAUCCCGCGGCUCAACCGCGGAACUGCAUUUGAAACUGUUUUUCUUGAGUACCGGAGAGGUCAUCGGAAUUCCUUGUGUAGCGGUGAAAUGCGUAGAUAUAAGGAAGAACACCAGUGGCGAAGGCGGAUGACUGGACGGCAACUGACGGUGAGGCGCGAAAGCGUGGGGAGCAAACAGGAUUAGAUACCCCGGUAU
rnacentral:rRNA from 1 species